rnacentral:lncRNA from 1 species
CUCUCUGGGAGGGGGUAGCUAAGAAAAGUAUUAGCUUAGAUGAAGACCAAGAAUAGGAGGUUUUUUUAGGAACUCUGUUUUCUGCUACUUUAUCCUUAGUCUGUAGUUCUUACCUAACUGAAAAAAAAAAAAAAACGCUCUGUAGAAACUUGGCAUGACAUGCAAAAUUGCUGACAUGCUCACCUACUCAGCUCCACCUGACCAUAUUACAUCAAUCUGGAUGUCAGAGUCAAGGAAGCUUCCCUUCUUCUAUGGCAUGAGAAAUGCCUUUACUCCUCCUCCCUCUCUCUCUAGAGCAGUGUUGUCUCAGGAAAAAAGAAAUGGAGGGCAGGUCAUGCAUUUGAAUGCAUGGCUUUUUUGUUUCUCCAGCCACAGGGAGAUGUUGUUUAAGAAGCCAGCCAAGCUUUGUAUCCCAGGCUUGCCAGAAUGGAUUGUUCCACUUUUAUUUUGCAAAGAACGCAUCUCAAUACAACACUUCUUUUUUUUCUACUCAUAUGUAAAUAGAAAUGGAUGAAUGUACUCAAGUGUUCUGCAUGGAUAAACUAUAAUAAAAUGUUCAGACCCUUUCCUGAAAAUAGUGCC